rnacentral:rRNA from 1 species
AACGAACGCUGGCGGCAGGCUUAACACAUGCAAGUCGAACGCACCGCAAGGUGAGUGGCAGACGGGUGAGUAACACGUGGGGAUCUGCCCAAUGGUACGGAAUAGCUCCGGGAAACUGGAAUUAAUACCGUAUGAGCCCGCAAGGGGAAAGAUUUAUCGCCAUUGGAUGAACCCGCGUCGGAUUAGCUAGUUGGUGUGGUAAAGGCGCACCAAGGCGACGAUCCGUAGCUGGUCUGAGAGGAUGAUCAGCCACACUGGGACUAAGACACGGCCCAGACUCCGACGGGAGGCAGCAGUGGGGAAUAUUGGACAAUGGGCGCAAGCCUGAUCCAGCCAUGCCGCGUGAGUGAUGAAGGCCUUAGGGUUGUAAAGCUCUUUCGCCGACGAAGAUAAUGACGGUAGUCGGAGAAGAAGCCCCGGCUAACUUCGUGCCAGCCGCCGCAGUAACAC